rnacentral:ncRNA from 1 species
UUAAUUACUAAGAUCAAGACUAGUAACGGUUAAUUUCUAGACAGAGAAUCUUCUUUAAAAAGCUGAAAGAGAAGAUAGAAUGAUAAUCGUGAAUUUCAUCUUGGGAGUAGAAUCUAAUCAAUUCCGGUAUUUCACCGUUAUCGAAAACUUGAGUGUGGGCAUAUUUAUGUUCAAACUAGGGUGGUACCGCGACGCUUCGUCCCUAUU